rnacentral:rRNA from 1 species
GAUGAACGCUGGCGGCGUGCCUAAUACAUGCAAGUCGAGCGAACAGAUGAGGAGCUUGCUCCUCUGACGUUAGCGGCGGACGGGUGAGUAACACGUGGAUAACCUACCUAUAAGACUGGGAUAACUUCGGGAAACCGGAGCUAAUACCGGAUAAUAUAUUGAACCGCAUGGUUCAAUAGUGAAAGACGGUUUUGCUGUCACUUAUAGAGGGAUCCGCGCCGCAUUAGCUAGUUGGUAAGGUAACGGCUUACCAAGGCAACGAUGCGUAGCCGACCUGAGAGGGUGAUCGGCCACACUGGAACUGAGACACGGUCCAGACUCCUACGGGAGGCAGCAGUAGGGAAUCUUCCGCAAUGGGCGAAAGCCUGACGGAGCAACGCCGCAUGAGUGAUGAAGGUCUUCGGAUCGUAAAACUCUGUUAUUAGGGAAGAACAAAUGUGUAAGUAACUAUGCACGUCUUGACGGUACCUAAUCAGAAAGCCACGGCUAACUACGUG